CCCUCUGCCGGAGACAGAACAAACAGAAGUGGGCCUCCCCUCUCGUGGAUCUCAGGAAGCACCCCGGGACCAGCUGCCGUAUGCCUGGUGCCUUCCUGAGGCCCAGGUAAUGGGAACAGAGACAUGGCCGUCCUAUCAAGGAGUCCACAGCCCAUUGAGGACACAGCCCCUGGAGAACCCUACAGCCCCAGCAGGAAGAAAGAGCCAGAAACCAUAGCCCCAGUGGGCAAAGGAAAGGAAGGUCAGCACCAGUGCACAGACGGGGACCACAGCGCACCGUGCUCAGCCUUGGGAGGCCACAGGGACGACGCGGGCACACAUCACCCCCCCUCCACAUUUACUCCUGACUCUUCAAUGAAACCUUCUGCACCAGCCUCUCAAGCCUACCUGGGCAGAGGGUGCUAAAAAAGGCCCCCAAGGAGUCCACCUUCCCCGUCACCAGCUCGUAGUGGACUUCCCUCUGGUACUCCGCUGGGCUGAGGAGGCUCUCAGAAAGAAUCCGGGCUUGGUAUUUUCCUGGAAAACAAA